GAAACCCUCACCGUAGUACGCAGGACAAUGCGACAAAGCCAUCUAUCCCACUCUAUAGAAAAUAUUGAGAUAUAUAUCGUAUAUCGCCAGUCAGCCAAAAAAUAUCGGGAUAUCAUAUUUUGCCCAUAUCGUGCAGCCCUAAUCUGAAUACAGACGUCGCAAAACCUCUACAUCCAGCUCUCCAACAAGAAGUUGACAACGAAGACCUUACGGAUUGCACAAGCAGGCGAUUUGUUCACUGAUGCAUUUCCAAUGCAAAAACCCUGACAACCAAUUGGAAUACAGACGCUGCAAACCCUCUCCAUCCAGCUCUCCGAGAAGCAGUUGACAACAACGGAGACCCUACAGAUAACACAAGCCUGUGAUUUUUUCACUUGCUCCAAAUUAAACAACCAUUCAAAGCUCACGGCAGAAAAGAUGGCACAGGUGUGGAAGGUCGUCGAAUUCAAAGAUAGGAGCACUACCAUAGUGCCAAGCAGCUGGUUGGAGGAGGCAGGGGAGUCAUGGAAUUGUUUCUGGCCUCCUAGUUCUUACGAUCAUAACCGCCUCCAGAAGGCAGUCGCGCACCACCUUCCUCCAGGUGCAGCGUGGGACGUGCACGGUGACGUGAGGGUCUUGGUUAGCUGUGGCCAAACUCACGCUACCUGCAGGAGCCAGCUGGAAGAGUCCAGACCACUAGGGGCCCGCCACAACACUUUUUUGAAGGUGUGGACACUGAUGACGAGGCACCACCCCCCCCAAGGAAAACAGCACGACAAUCUGUAGAUGUAGGGCCAGACAUCAAUAGUGAGUGGCUAUUUGGGCCAUCGACCACCCAAAGAGCUCAAUCAAAUGGCAGCCAGAGACUUGAGCUACUACAUCUAGAUACAGUCCAACCAAGCCACCAGCUAUUGCAUGAUAUGGGAAUAUCUAAAGUCGUGGAGCUGCUUUCCAAAGUGCUGGAAGAAAAUAAAUUGAUGAAAGCGGAAAUUACCAACCUGGGGAGUGAAGUGAGGGCGCUUAGGAGAGAGAUGGUGAGGCCGGUAGCACCAGAAGCUGCCGCUUCGUCCAUCAAGCUGCCUCUGAGGACAAUGGAAGAGUUUCAAUUAGCAGAGGCUGUUAUGAGAGAAACCCCCUGCGAAAAACAAAAGAUGAUCUUAACAUUCAGUCUAAUUGGAGGGCACACUGCAGAAGAGGCCGUAAGAAGGAUGUUGCAGAGUGGCCUAACAAAUAACCUGGCGUGUCGCUUCAACUGGGCAGGGAAAGGCUUCAAGGAAGCCUUUAAAAGCACUGUCCUUAGUGAUGUACUGUUCGCUGCACUCCAAAAACAGCUGCCAGGGACCACCCAUAUUGUUUUUUCAGGGACACUGAAGAAGUGGCUUAAAUAUGCACCGGAGAGAGAGGGAGGUGGAGGGAGGCGAACAAAUGAACGCGAUCAGGCGCCGCAGGAUCCUCGACCAUGAAUGAAUGUGUGUGUGUAAAUAAUAAUUAUAUUCGUUAGAAUAAGUAGGGUUAAUUGGGUUUGGGUUGUUCGUGUUCGGUUAUCACGUUCUGUUGUUCAUUAUGGUCGCCACCGUUGUUGUGUCAUGUUUGUUUGUUGGGUGCUCUAUGUGAGAGGAUUUUAAUAAAAGUAGUCUGCGUCGAGGGGUGUACGGGGCGCAGAACUACAGUUAAAUAAA